rnacentral:rRNA from 1 species
UACAGAGGUCUCAAGCGUUGUUCGGAAUCACUGGGCGUAAAGGGUGCGUAGGCUGCACGGUAAGUCAGAGGUGAAAUCCCGGAGCUCAACUUCGGAAUUGCCUCCGAUACUGCCGUGCUUGAGGACUGGAGAGGAGAUUGGAAUUCACAGUGGAGCAGUGAAAUGCGCAGAUAUCAGGAAGAACACCCGUGGCGAAGGCGGCUCUCUGGGACGGUACUGACGCUGAGACGCGAAAGCGUGGGGAGCGAACAGG